rnacentral:siRNA from 1 species
UAAAGGCCUCAGUGUGAUUUAU